CGCCGCGGCCUCCCUCAGCCUCGCACCGCUGGGCACUCGCUGUCUCUUCCUCUUCCUCAGCCUCCUUUGUCGCCUCCCUGGUGGCCCGAGGGGGGCGGAGGACGCUGCGUGGCCAGCGGGGGAGGGGCGGCCCUGCCCCCGCCGCGCGGGGAGAGGCGCUCGGGCCUUUCUAAUACGGAUUAUUCAUCACAAGUUUCAAGCUCAUUAAAAAAAAAAAAAAAAAAAAGGAAAAAAAUUAAAAAAAAAAACCCCAAACCAAUCCAAACCCCGCGAGUCCGGGUGCGAGGUGUGCAAAAUGGUGGAUUAUUUUGUAGCUGUUUAUUCGGAUUUGCAAAUGGCUGCAGUGGCUGCUGCUGGCACCCGGAGACAGGACGAUUGUGAAAAUUCCCCCAAGGGCCUCGAUUGCUGCAUCUGCUGAGAUGACGCAACUCAAGAGUGGAGCCUGCGGGUGAAGGAUGGUGCAGAGGGAGGGGCCAGCGCUGCUCUGCCACGGGAGGAGUGAAGCAGCCUUGAAAAGGAUGGGGAGAAACUUAAAAAUACUCCUCACACCUCCAGAAACGCAGCGUGUUCCUCCUGGAGCGCUGAGCGUUGUGGAAUCGCUCUGAGGAGUUCAGUGGGAAGAGGUUUGGAGGUUUUGCAGAGGUUCAGCUCGAGCUGGAAAUGCUGGAGUUGAUGAUUCCCUGGAGUUGCCUGGCCUCGAGCUGGGAAGGUCUCUGGUGAAUCUCCAGUGAGCCCUGCCUUGCUGGGCUGGGGCUUUGUGCUGCCUGAGAACGAGGAGGG